rnacentral:lncRNA from 12 species
AUGUGGCCCAAGAAUAAGGGAAAGAAGGAAUCUUCUGGAGGAGGAAUUUCAGAGCCCUGGAGGCAGCGGAAGCCGCAGCUCUCCUGCAGGGGCCGAGUCUGCAUCUCCCCGCGCGGGGCCCCCGGGGGGGGGGGGUGGUCCCCAGGCUGGACUCCAGAACCGCCGCAGCCCAGGGCUGCCGGGCGCCCCCAUGCAUCUCCUUGCAGACGGCAGCAUUUGCACCCACUGGGAGCAGCCCUGUGCACGUGCGCGGACGCCCAGGGGACCCGGGGGCCGUCUCUGUCUCGAUCAAGACUUCAGGCCCCGAGAAGUCACAUCCAACGGAAUCUGACGGACAGACAACCGGACACCACCCAGAAAGAUGAACUACGGUGUUUCCUGACUUGCCUCGACAUUCUAGAACCUGUCCCGCUCGGAACCUGCAUCACUGCUUUCUCUGCCAGCAGACGCCACUUUGUUCUCCUCGUGGCGCUGCUGCCCGGCGUUUCGGGACCCAGACUUGGUUCCCAUACAUGCAACAUCGAGCAGGCUUCUCCCCAGAUCUGCGUGUCCUGCAAACACACUCUUGCUUUUGCAUCCUUGCCCGUUUUGGAAUUGAGUAGGCGAGCUCCAUAGGAGUGUGAGAGGUUUCAUUACCUCCAGAGCACUGUCUAUUUUAAGCCUCCCCCAUAUUCAUCAAGUGGGAAACUUGGUCUCAGUGAGCCUUGCAGCGAACGUGAUGGGCCGGAAUCACAAGUUUUCGGUUUUGAACCGCUUCCCCAUAGCGUUACCCCUAAGGAUUUCAGAAAUUUCAUUUCUUGGCCUAGAAAGAAGAUGACUCAUUCAACCAGAAUCUUUCCUUGGGUAAAAAAGAGUCACAGGAGACACUGUUGCUGAGGCGGUGGCCAAAAGGAAGACCCGCAUCCAAGUAAUUGCUUCCUGACCUCAAAGCUGGAGCUCUAACGCUACGGCGUCUCCGGUGGUCGUGAAUACCAGCGGCAUUGCUCAGACGACGGCCUUCCCUCAGGAUGUGCGUGCCUGGCCUCGAAACCGCUUCCGUAGACGCACAUGUCACACUGCCUCUAUGGAUCGUGGCGGAUGGGUCUAGUGGUUUUCCCUCCUUUGACCUGCUAAGUCCUGUGAGCUUCCCUCUUCACUCUUUGCUCCGCUGCCAAGAGAGGCCAGGUUCUGUGUCCUCACGGGACGGCUCUGGGAGGAGAGGCAACUAGAGCAGGCCCAGUGGUAGAGACUGGCCUGAAGACUUCAGGUCAACACUGUAGUGUUUCUCACGUGAUUUGGGGUGUCAGGGGUUUCCUCACUGAGGUUUUGGAGCGUACCUGCAGUGACGUCACCUGCGGUGCUGGCCCAGGUGAUGGGCAUCAUGACUCCCUGUGGAAAGGGCCUUUGGGCAUAGAUAGCUUAGAUACUCCACACAUGGGCUACAUCAUUCCACAUUAACCAUGGGAAUGUGAGAAGAAGUCGUUACUUUCAUCUGAGUUUUGAAUAUCUAAGCUUCUUUAGUAGUUUUGAGUGGAAGUUAUUAUAUCAUAAAACAUUAAUAAAGUGACCUCCCAUAAAAUGAGCCUGCGCUCA